rnacentral:rRNA from 1 species
UCGUAACAAGGUUUCCGUAGGUGAACCUGCGGAAGGAUCAUUAACGAAUUGAACUUUUGUUCAAAUCCUUCAACACCUGUGAACUAAUUUAUUUUGCUUUGGUCACAUUUUUGUGGCCAAAAGAUCAAACACUUUAAUUUAACCUGAGUCUGAAACUGAAAUAUUGAAUUAAUCAAAACUUUCAACAACGGAUCUCUUGGUUCUCGCAUCGAUGAAGAACGCAGCGAAAUGCGAUACGUAAUGUGAAUUGCAGAAUUUUGUGAAUCAUCGAAUCUUUGAACGCACAUUGCGCCUCUUGGUAUUCCAAGAGGCAUUCCUGUUUGAGAGUCAUUUCUCCUUCAAAUCUAGUAUUUGGUGUUGACCACGCGCUUUGGCGCUAGGUUGAAAUGAAUUGGCAGGCAGAAAUUGUUUGUUCAGUGUCAUAGGUUUAUCCAACUACGCUGGUAAAAUAAUUUUGAGCAGGCCUAAUAACCGUCAAAUUCAAAGUUUGACCUCAAAUCAGGUAAGACUACCCGCUGAACUUAAGCAUAUCAAUA